AGAGAUGUGUGAUGACGCAUAUCAAUAAGCGGAGGAAAAGAAACUAACAAGGAUUCCCUUAGUAACGGCGAGUGAAGCGGGAAGAGCUCAAAUUUGAAAUCUUCAAGGUUUUACCUUGACGAAUUGUAGUUUAAAGAAGUGUUUUCUGUUGAAGUUUCGGUAAAAGUUCUUUGGAAUAGGACAUCAUAGAGGGUGAGAAUCCCGUAUUUGACCGUUACUUUCCAGCCGUGUGAUACACUUUCAAAGAGUCGGAUUGUUUGGGAAUGCAGUCCAAAAUGGGUGGUAAAUUUCAUCUAAAGCUAAAUAUUGGCGAGAGACCGAUAGCGAACAAGUACCGUGAGGGAAAGAUGAAAAGAACUUUGAAAAGAGAGUUAAACAGUACGUGAAAUUGUCAAAAGGGAAGCGUUUGACACCAGUGUUGUUUUUCCGAAAAUCAAUUACGAAUGUUUUAUUUUUGAGAAGUUAUGACUUCAUCGGCUUGCUUCUCUCUUUACUGAAACUUUCUUAAUGCACUUUUCGGUUAACAAGUCAACAUCAAUUUCUUUUGUUGUAAAAGGGUAUGAGGAAGGUGGCUUUCUUUUCGGAGAAAGUGUUUAUAGCCUUGUACCUCUGCAAUCGGAGAGAUUGAGGUCUGCAGCGUAGAUCCUUCGGGGUUAGAUACAUUUGUGCUAAGUUAUAGCCUUUCAUAGACAACUUGUUGACUAUGAUCAGUCAUGUAGCUUACUCGCUUAUGUCAUUUUACCUACGCUUAGGAUGUUGAAGAUGUAGCACAUCAU
rnacentral:rRNA from 1 species